UUUUAUAGUUGGGGGUCACCCCAACAUGAGGAACUGUAUUAAGGGGUCACAGUGUUAGGAAGGUUGAGAACCACUGCCAUAAGUACUUCCUGUCUGAGUACUUCAUCACAGCAACAGAAAAGAGACUAAUACCCCAGCUUGUGUAGUGAUAAUCUUAUGGGUCACAGGGAUCUUUCAUGUAUUAUAGCAGAUCAAGAACUGGCUUUUGAGGCCUUGGACAUGUGACACAUUCAAUAUAUUCUGUAUGUUCACUGUCGUAAUGUCCGUGAGCCUGUCCCAGUGGCCAGGUGAUCUGACAGGACUGGAAAACCAUGGGCUUUUAUCUACCUGCUCAGUCUUUCCAUUGUGUUGUUGCUAUGGUUUGGAACUUGAAUGGCUCCCAAAGCCCCACAGGCUGAAGGCUUAAUUGCCAGGCUGUGUUGAGAUAGGGAGGCCAUGUGACGUUCAGGAGGGGUAUCUAGUAGAGCAAGCUAGGUUAUUGGGGUAUGCCCUUGAAGAAGCUCUAUGGUUCCUGGUCCUUUUCCUGAUUUCCACAAGGAUGUUCUUGUUUGAUGAGUGCGAACUCAGUGCUGGAUAAGGCUGGAAACAGAAGAACUGAGUCAGCAUCCACUAAUUAAUCCAUCAGCAAAGACUGCUGCCUGCAUCUCUCCAUCAUUAGCCAGUCUUCAAAAGAAGCAAGAGGACCAGGGAUGGGCGCCAGAUGGCUUCUGAUGCAGCUCUGUCAUUCAGAUCUCCUCUACCAGACCUAUCCAGACCACCUUUGUGGAGGGUGACCAGUUGUCUGUCUCGGGAUGUCCAUGACUCUCUUGGUUCUAGCGUCUGAAAGCCCAAGAGUAUCAGUUACCCCUGAUUCCUGAACAAGCCAGUAAA
ensembl:processed_transcript BC006965 cDNA sequence BC006965